rnacentral:rRNA from 1 species
AGAGUUUGAUCCUGGCUCAGAGCGAACGCUGGCGGCAUUAACACAUGCAAGUCGCACGGGCGGGGGCUUCGGCUCCUGUCAGUGGCGGACGGGUGAGUAACGCGUAGGUAUCUAUCCAGGGGUGGGGGACAACCGCGGGAAACUGCGGCUAAUACCGCAUGACGACUCUGACUUAUGGUUGGGGUCCAAAGCCUUUCGGGGCGCCGUUGGCGGAGCCUGCGUCCGAUUAGCUGGUUGGUGGGGUAAAGGCCUACCAAGGCUGUGAUCGGUAGCUGGUCUGAGAGGAUGAUCAGCCACACUGGGACUGAGACACGGCCCAGACUCCUACGGGAGGCAGCAGUGGGGAAUAUUGGACAAUGGGCGCAAGCCUGAUCCAGCAAUGCCGCGUGGGUGAAGAAGGUCUUCGGAUUGUAAAGCCCUUUCGGCGGGGACGAUGAUGACGGUACCCGCAGAAGAAGCCCCGGCUAACUUCGUGCCAGCAGCCGCGGUAAUACGAAGGGGGCUAGCGUUGCUCGGAAUGACUGGGCGUAAAGGGCGCGUAGGCGGAUGGCACAGUCAGGCGUGAAAUUCCCGGGCUCAACCUGGGGGCUGCGUUUGAUACGUGUUAUCUUGAGUGGGGAAGAGGGUCGUGGAAUUCCCAGUGUAGAGGUGAAAUUCGUAGAUAUUGGGAAGAACACCGGUGGCGAAGGCGGCGACCUGGUCCUUGACUGACGCUGAGGCGCGAAAGCGUGGGGAGCAAACAGGAUUAGAUACCCUAGUAGUCC